CACCAAUCCCACACUCACAUCCUCCUGUCCAGCCUCCCGUGGCUUCUCCACCAAAAAAUCAACUAACACCGUCUCAUACACCAAAAUACCCACAACCACCUGCGGUUCAGCCACCAAAACACUCACAUCCACCGGUUGCUCAACCACCAAAACACCCACAGCCCCCGGUUAAACCACCGGCUCCGUCACCAAGCUAUCACUUCCCAAGGAGCCUCAUUGCAGUGCAAGGUAU
rnacentral:lncRNA from 1 species